GGGGAUUUAGCUCAGUGGCAUAAGCACCUGCCUUGCAAGCAGGAGGUCGUGGGUUCGAUACCCGGUACCA
rnacentral:tRNA from 1 species